GAUGAACGCUGGCGGCGUGCCUAAUACAUGCAAGUCGAGCGAACGGACGAGAAGCUUGCUUCUCUGAUGUUAGCGGCGGACGGGUGAGUAACACGUGGAUAACCUACCUAUAAGACUGGGAUAACUUCGGGAAACCGGAGCUAAUACCGGAUGAUAUUUUGAACCGCAUGGUUCAAAAGUGAAAGACGGUCUUGCUGUCACUUAUAGAUGGAUCCGCGCUGCAUUAGCUAGUUGGUAAGGUAACGGCUUACCAAGGCAACGAUGCAUAGCCGACCUGAGAGGGUGAUCGGCCACACUGGAACUGAGACACGGUCCAGACUCCUACGGGAGGCAGCAGUAGGGAAUCUUCCGCAAAGGGCGAAAGCCUGACGGAGCAACGCCGCGUGAGUGAUGAAGGUCCUCGGAUCGUAAAACUCUGUUAUUAGGGAAGAACAUAUGUGUAAGUAACUGUGCACAUCUUGACGGUACCUAAUCAGAAAGCCACGGCUAACUACGUG
rnacentral:rRNA from 1 species